GACGAACGCUGGCGGCGUGCCUAAUACAUGCAAGUAGAACGCACAGUUUAUACCGUAGCUUGCUACACCAUAGACUGUGAGUUGCGAACGGGUGAGUAACGCGUAGGUAACCUGCCUGGUAGCGGGGGAUAACUAUUGGAAACGAUAGCUAAUACCGCAUAAUAUUGAUUAUUGCAUGAUAAUUGAUUGAAAGAUGCUAUUGCAUCACUACCAGAUGGACCUGCGUUGUAUUAGCUAGUAGGUGAGGUAACGGCUCACCUAGGCGACGAUACAUAGCCGACCUGAGAGGGUGAUCGGCCAAACUGGGACGGAGACACGGCCCAGACUCCUACGGGAGGCAGCAGUAGGGAAUCUUCGGCAAUGGACGAAAGUCUGACCGAGCAACGCCGCGUGAGUGAAGAAGGGUUUCGGAUCGUAAAGCUCUGUUGUAAGAGAAGAACGGGUGUGAGAGUGGAAAGUUCACACUGUGACGGUAUCUUACCAGAAAGGGACGGCUAACUACGUG
rnacentral:rRNA from 1 species